CCUACGGGCGGCUGCAGUCGAGAAUCUUCGGCAAUGAGCGCAAGCUUGACCGAGCGACGCCGCGUGUGGGAUGAAGGCCCUCGGGUUGUAAACCACUGUCGUAGGGGAGGAAGGCUCCGUGAAGAGCGGGGCUUGACCUAUCCUAGGAGGAAGUACGGGCUAAGUUCGUGCCAGCAGCCGCGGUAAGACGAACCGUACGAAGGUUAUUCGGGAUUACAAGGCUUUAAGGGCGUGUUUGCGGCUCAGUAGGGAAAGCCCUCGGCUCAACCGAGGAAUAGCGCUUGAUACUGCAAGGCUUGAGGGAGACAGGGGUAAGCGGAACUGAUGGUGGAGCGGUGAAAUGCGUUGAUAUCAUCAGGAACACCGGUGGCGAAAGCGGCUUACUGGGUCUCUUCUGACGCUGAGGAACGAAAGCUAGGGGAGCGAACGGGAUUAGAUACCCGUGUAGUC
rnacentral:rRNA from 1 species